AAGUUCCUGAGGUGCCUAAGAAGGUGGAAGAAAAACGAAUCAUUCUCCCUAAAGAAGAGGAAGUUCUACCAGUUGAAGUGACUGAGGAGCCUGAAGAAGAGCCUAUUUCAGAAGAAGAAAUCCCAGAAGAACCACCUAGCAUAGAGGAAGUUGAAGAGGUGGCACCACCUAGAGUGCCUGAAGUGAUUAAGAAAGCAGUACCUGAAGCACCUACUCCUGUUCCUAAAAAAGUGGAGGCACCACCAGCUAAAGUGUCAAAGAAAAUUCCUGAGGAAAAAGUACCUGUUCCUGUUCAGAAAAAAGAGGCACCCCCAGCCAAAGUACCGGAGGUGCCUAAGAAAAUUGUGGUAGAAGAAAAAGUACGUGUUCCUGAAGAGCCCAGAGUUCCACCAACUAAAGUGCCUGAAGUGCUGCCACCGAAGGAAGUGGUCCCAGAAAAGAAAGUACCGGUGCCUCCUGCCAAAAAGCCAGAAGCUCCACCUCCUAAAGUGCCUGAGGCUCCCAAAGAAGUUGUUCCUGAAAAGAAAGUGCCAGUGCCUCCUCCUAAAAAGCCUGAAGUGCCACCCACAAAAGUCCCAGAGGUGCCAAAGGCAGCUGUCCCAGAAAAGAAGGUGCCUGAAGCUAUUCCUCCCAAACCGGAAAGUCCUCCCCCUGAAGUGCCUGAAGUGCUGCCACCGAAGGAAGUGGUCCCAGAAAAGAAAGUACCGGUGCCUCCUGCCAAAAAGCCAGAAGCUCCACCUCCUAAAGUGCCUGAGGCUCCCAAAGAAGUUGUUCCUGAAAAGAAAGUGCCAGUGCCUCCUCCUAAAAAGCCUGAAGUGCCACCCACAAAAGUCCCAGAGGUGCCAAAGGCAGCUGUCCCAGAAAAGAAGGUGCCUGAAGCUAUUCCUCCCAAACCGGAAAGUCCUCCCCCUGAAGUGCCUGAAGUGCUGCCACCGAAGGAAGUGGUCCC
rnacentral:lncRNA from 1 species